GGCCGCUCCCCGCGGGGCGCUCCCGGCUGCGCGGGCGCUGCCUCCCCGCAACGGAGCGACAGCGGCGCCGGAGCCGCUCUCUCUGCUUCUGGGCGAGAGGAGAAAUAACCUCCAAAUGAAGAACUUAAUGAGGAGUGGGGAGGGGUGGCGGCUCCCGCCGCGCGUUUGCAGCGGGGUGAGCGGGAUCUGCAGGUUUUCUCACUGACAUCUCCUUCCCCUCUUGACUUCAGAAAUCCACCCAUUCUGCCACAGUUUUCCAGCAGAGUGGAAAAGAGUGUGGACUUUUCAGAACGCAAGAUUCAAAAUAAAUUUAAGACAGGGAUUAGCCAAAUGAUCUGGACAAGUCAUCUUCUCUAUCUUCUGGAGCAGCACAGCCCACAGGGUUUUAUUCAGGGAGCCCUUUUCAAGUCAAAAAAGGAGUGUUGGCCUGAAGAGGUAUUUUGGAAAGAUAUCUUCACCUGACAGUGGGCUUUCUCAGUCAUUUUACAAAUAAAACCUUCUGGAUUUUUGCACGUGUCUGAUUGUUUCAGCCUCCAGCUGUUAAUUCUUAUUUAUUUCUUUUGGAUAACAAUAUCAGUUGGAAACAAAUGUCUUCACCUGAAGGUCCUCCUUGUGUUAUAACCAAGUUAGCACCACGAUCUGCUUCUAAUGAAUUAAGUAGACUGAGUUUUUCCUGUCUCUCAGGUGGAUACCUUGACCAGAUGUGAUCUUCUACACAACAGAUGGCUGUACAGUACUACUCACCAUCAUCUCCCUUUGAAGGCAGUGCAGAGAAAUGAGCCCUUCCAGAGUGAAAUUCAUCUCAUCCUAAAGUGGAUGUUUGAAACAGACUAGAUGAAUGUCCCUCACAGCAUUUCUAUUUCUCUCUAGCAACAAUUGAGGAAGCCUGUGGUGACUACCUCUUGUGUCAAGCCUGCAUUGUAGACCAGUGUAUUUAGGCAAGAUGGAUCAGUCUUUCCAGCUGUCAUUUUUCCAGCUUUGAAUCAUUUCCUCUGCACCUCACACAAAUGAGACUUUGAAACAUCUUGAGCAGAAGCAUGACUUUAAUAUCCACAUAAGAGGAUGCCUCACUGCUAAGUGCUGGGACUGCACACUGGGGCAGUUCACUGAAAACUUGGUGAGGGAGAUACAGCUGGAUUUCAAUAUGCACGUUGUCCACAGUCUGUGUUUUGCAUUAAUUGUACUUUCUUAACGAGGAGUAUGUAGUAAGAAUGAGAAAGCACCUUAAUAUUUAUGGUCCUCCUGGAAAAAAAGACUGUAUUAUGUAACUAUUAAUCUCGGUAUUUUUGUUCUAUAUGUUUUCCAUUUUUUUCUGAUAUUAACAUCCCCUGCAGCACCACAGCUCCUUUCAUCCAACUUGGUUUUUUAGCAUCAGCUGCUCAGCUGUCUCUAAUCACACCAGGCUCAGCCACUAGCCCAGCCAGACAGCUGCCAGAUUUUUCUUUUUUAAAUAAAUACAAACAUCUGUCAAGUUGUAAAGCAGAGAGCAAUGAAUCCAACUUUGUUUUGUUUUGUUUUGUUUUUCGCUCCCACUUGAAGAAGACAACGAGAGAAUUGCACAAUCUCUGCAACAAAAGACAAAGGAUUCGUGUGGCUGGACAAGUUCCCUUUAUUUCAAAUCAGAUGUGUUUAAGUGUCAGUGUGUUACCCGUCACUCAUAGAGUUUUAUUAGGUCUACAGGAAGGAAGUAAUGUGAAUCCCUUCUCUUGACCAACAUCCCUGUUUGAGCUCUUAUGUGAUUAGUAUUAUCGCUGUUACAUGAUUAUGUAUUGCUUACUCACCUGGCCAGCAGCCACUUCUCAGGAAGAACUUACGUAAGAGUAGCUGGCAGGGAGAAAUGAGGAUUGUUUUUUUCCCAUCCUGCUAUUCCUGUUGGACGUCUUCUACCACAAAUAAUAGGAACAGCUCAGGUGUGCCCUACUUCUGCCUGUCCCUCUCUCUUGCCUAUUAUCUCCUCAUCCCUGCCUUCUCUCUCACACAUUUACUACCCCUGAUUGCAGACACUUUUAGGAAAAUGGACAGCACUUCUGAAGCAGUAUUGCCAUUUUUUCUUACCUAUGGCUGUGUCCCUUGAAAACGCCCAGGUCAUGCUGUAGAACCAAGCUGUAUCCUACAUUCACUAUGUUGUUUCACAUCAACUUCAUUUUUACCUGUAAAAUAGUCCAAUACAUGCUGCGAAGGCAGAUUGCACUAUCUAUUUUCAGUGUGCUUCUACCAUGGCUUUCUUUUUGGGAAAGCAAGAAUGGAUCGUAGCAGAGAUCCCUCGCAAAGGAUUUUUUUUCCUUAAAUUCUGCUGCACGUUGCUGUGGUCAGUGAGCCAAGGUGAUGCAGGUGAGACCACAAAACCUGCCCGCACAUCCCUCUGCAUUGUUGUAGAGGUGAUUUAUAUCCAUUUAGUUGCAGUCAGUAGGGAUCAGCACAGGUUAAGUCGAUACAACGUGGGCUCCGAUUGAUUCGGGAAGGUUCGCGCAAUGGGUUGUGCUGGCUUAAAUAAUCAUUUUUAAGAUGUUUGUUGCCUUCAGUUGCAAACUGGAACCUGAGCCAAUUCUGGUGCUACAGAUAAAACACGUUUUUAGUGGUGUUUCACUGCAAAGCCACCGAGGGAUAGGCAGAAGUGAAAAUCGUGUGGGAAAAAUAUGAGAGCGUUAAAGGCGUGAAAUAUUCAGCAAGAAUUCAAGCCUUGCCUGGAAUUUUGAAACUAAUCUUCACUUAGCUAAUAUGAUCCUGCAUUAGAAAAUAUAAAAUAAAAUGUAGGGUGUUCAUUUCUCCCCUUGUUUUUCUGUAUGCUAUUUAUACCAAAAUAAUUUUAUAAUCAUUUGUGUGCAAUGUCUCACAAACAGUCCUGUGACAAUUGGGACAGUGCUUCCUGGAGGAUUAAGGAAAUUUGUAGGAAGAAUCAUAGCUUCGUGUGGGAACAAUCAAAUACUCAUUGCAGGCAUCUUUGUUCCUUAAUCUUAAUUUCUUUGUGCUGGUACCUUGAUUUGUUUCUCAAAUUUAACGGAGAAGGGUAUGAAGACACUAAAAAUCUAAAAUUACAAUGUAACGGUAUGGAAAUAUGAGGUUUAGGAAGCCUAAGCACUUAAACCAACUGUUCAGGGUAUUUUCCCCUUAAUGUGCUUACAUAAAUCACAUUAGUUUUUAUGAGAGUUAUUUUUCAAAUUUAUAGAGUUUUUCAGAUGGAUCCUCAGCUCCCAAGGUAGCGUACGCAGAGGCUGAGUGUGUUUCUGCAAGCUGAAGAGUAUGAAGUUCAAAUUUAAACUCUGAUGUUGUUUUUGUGGAUGUCAUUGGCUGCACGUUAGGACUGGACUUUGGAAAUAGCUUUUAUUUUAAUGCACAGCUCUAGAAAGCUAAAUUAUCAUUUCUGAAUGCCAAGCCCUCAAAUUACUUAUAUAAUGUGCAGUAUUUAUGUGAUUGCUUUAGAACAGGUACAUGCAAUGUCUUUAUCUGUAACAAGACCUGAAGGGGAAAAAAUCACUGACGCUACCUGAGCAAAUAUUGUGCAUCAGCACUGCUGUCUGGUAUGUGCUUCUCAUUGGUGCUUCACUGAAAUUCCUCAUUUCUGGAAAUAGGUGGUUUGGGGAAGAUCAAGUAAGUUAGAAGAAAAAGCGUAUUUCUAGCUUUGAUGAGUGUACUGAAUGUGCCCAGAAGGUUCAGAAAGCAGAAGGCAUAUAAAAACUUUGCAACAUUUAUUACAGCGUUGAAUAAAGAAAUAUUUUAAUGUUGGUUUGGGGAUUUGGGGACGGCCUAAUUCAUGGGUUUUGCAUUUGGCAUUCUUGUGAAAAUCAGCAAGAAUCUCCAGAGUGCAAUGAAUGCAUGGCAAAACUUCCACCUCACCCACAUCAUGUGUCCCCAGUGGGGCUUACUGUAGCCCUUUCAGCUGUCUGGUAGCUCUGCAAAGUGCUGCAGAGACUCACAGGGAGAAGCAGUGCCCAUGGCUCACAGCACGUCAAGGGACCAGGAGAGGCUUCAGCUGCUCAGCUUGCAACCAAGAAGCAGAAGCCAUGUCAGAAGGAGAUCAGGCUCUGUGCAGCUCAUGCAUCCUCCCAGUUAAACCAGAUUUUGAUGUCAGAGAUCUUUAAGCUCACCUUACGCCACUCUUUUUGCACCACUCCAACUGCAGAUAUGAGCAUAGGUCGUGAAGGCACAGCUCAGAUUAUA